UACGUAGGGAGCGAGCGUUGUCCGGAUUCAUUGGGCGUAAAGCGCUUUAAGGCGGUUCGCUAAGUCGGGUGUGAAACCUCCAGGCUCAACCUGGAGACGCCACUCGAUACUGGCGUGACUAGAGUUCGGUAGGGGAUCACGGAAUUCCUGGUGUAGCGGUGAAAUGCGUAGAUAUCAGGAGGAACACCGGUGGCGAAGGCGGCUUUCUGGACAGAAACUGACGCUGAUGCGCGAAAGCUAGGGGAGCAAACAGG
rnacentral:rRNA from 1 species